rnacentral:rRNA from 1 species
GACGUAGGAGGCGAGCGUUAUCCGGAUUCACUGGGCGUAAAGCGCAUGUAGGCGGUUGGACAAGUCGUGUGUUAAAGCCCCUGGCUCAACUGGGGAGGUCAUGCGAGACUGUGCGACUUGAGGGCAAGAGAGGCACGUGGAACUCCCGGUGUAGCGGUGGAAUGCGUAGAGAUCGGGAAGAACACCAGUGGCGAAGGCGACGUGCUGGGUUGCACCUGACGCUGAGAUGCGAAAGUGUGGGGAGCAAACGGG